rnacentral:rRNA from 1 species
UACAGAGAGUGCAAGCGUUAUUCGGAUUCACUGGGCGUAAAGGGUGCGCAGGCGGCCAGGUGUGUGAGGCGUGAAAGCCUGGAGCUUAACUCCAGAAUUGCACCUCAAACUACAUGGCUAGAGCAUUGGAGAGGGUAGCAGAAUUCAUGGUGUAGCAGUGAAAUGCGUAGAUAUCGUAAGGAAGACCAGUGGCGAAGGCGAGUCUCUGGACAGCAACUGACGCUGAGGCACGAAGGCCAGGGGAGCAAACGGG